GCCGUGAUGCCCGAGUGGUCUAAGGGGCGAGACUCAAGUUCUCCUCAUCUUCUGAUGGCGCGGGUUCAAAUCCCGCUCACGGCA
rnacentral:tRNA from 1 species